AUUGAACGCUGGCGGCAGGCUUAACACAUGCAAGUCGAACGAGCGGCGGACGGGUGAGUAAUGUAUGGGGACUGCCCGCUAGAGGGGGAUAACUACUGGAAACGGUGGCUAAUACCGCAUACCAUCGGAUAACCCAUAUGGGAUUAGCUAGUAGGUGGGGUAAAGGCUCACCUCGGCGACGAUCUCUAGCUGGUCCGAGAGGAUGAUCGGCCACACUGGGACUGAGCCACGGCCCAGACUCCUACGGAGGCAGCAGUGGGGAAUAUUGCGCAAUGGGGGCAACCCUGACGCAGCCAUGCCGCGUGAAUGAAGAAGGCCUUCGGGUUGUAAAGUUCUUUCGGUAGCGAGGCUUUAACUACAGAAGAAGCACCGGCUAACUCCGUGCCAGCCGCCGCGGUAAUAC
rnacentral:rRNA from 1 species